CAUAGAAACAGCAACACCCCCUCAAAACCCUACCUCAGCCACCCUCCCGUCCGCACGGGAAGACUAGUAUGCUCGCCGCCUGGAGGCUGUCGCAACGAGCCGUCACGUCUCCCCUCCUCGGCCUCGGGCGAUCCCAAAUCCGGAACCCUUUCUCCACCAUAGCGUCUCUCGCACCGGCCGCCGCUGCCUCGCCGAACAGGCUGAGGGUCUACUCGUCCGCCGCCGCCGCUGGCGACUCCUUGAACGGCGCGGGGAGCGGCAAGCGCGUGGGGACCCACAACGGCAGCUUCCACUGCGACGAGGCGCUUGGCUGCUUCCUCAUCCGCCUCACUUCCCAGUUCGCCGGCGCCGACGUCGUCCGCACCCGCGACUCCCAGAUCCUUGAUACACUGGAUGCCGUGCUUGAUGUUGGUGGUGUCUAUGAUCCCAGCUGCCAUCGCUAUGAUCAUCACCAGAAGGGCUUCAACGAGGUCUUUGAACAUGGAUUUAACACGAAACUUAGCAGUGCUGGGCUUGUCUACAAGCAUUUUGGUAAAGAGAUAAUCGCAAAGGAGCUUGGGCUUAAUGAGGAUCAUGAAGAUGUUCACCGCUUGUAUCUUGCAAUAUAUAAAAGCUUUGUUGAGGCACUUGAUGCAAUUGAUAAUGGAAUAAAUCAAUAUGACACCGACCAGCCACCAAAGUAUGUGAACAAUACACACUUGUCUUCUCGCGUUGGACGUCUUAAUCCGGAUUGGACUGAUCCAGACCAGUCACCUGAGAAGGAGAAUGUGGCAUUUCAACAGGCAAUGAUGCUCACUGGAGGUGAAUUUAUGGAGGCUGUUCGCUUUCAUGUUAAAUCAUGGUUACCUGCAAGAUCUAUUGUUCUGGAGUGUUUGUUAUCAAGAGGAAAUGUUGAUCCAAGUGGAGAGAUCAUGGUUUUGGAUAGAUUCUGCCCGUGGAAACUUCAUCUAUUUGAGCUUGAAGAGGAGCUGAAGAUUGAUCCCCUGACCAAUUAUGUGCUGUAUCAGGAUUUUCAAAGGAAAAACGUAGGAAUUCACAAUCCUCUGGAAUGGGUAUUUUAGAGCCCUUUGGUUCGUAGGAAACACAGGGAACUUUUCUAUCUUUCAACUUUCACAGGAAAACCACAGGAAACGAACAAUCCACUCGGAUCUCUUUUUUUGGUUGGCUCUCGUAGGAUCGAGGCAAAUUGCUCGUCAUUAGACACUGAUGAAGAAGCAGUAACAACAGGAGCUAUAUAGGCAGUCACCAGCGACUCGGCGAGGGAGGACCGGAGAGUCUCAAUGAAGCACGAAAAUGUAAUCCCAUCUACAAGUGGAACAUAUUGGUGGUGUCGAUUUGCCGAAGGAGCACCAUAGGCCAGUGCUGCAGUUGCUCGAGUCGCACACACCGCAACAGAUCGAGCGCUCUGUGCCCUCACCUUGGGCCGCCGCUCGCCGAGAGCCUGCCAGCUCCAGCUGUGGUGGAGAGAGAGAGAGAGAUAAGAAUGAUGUACACAGGAGGAAGGGAUAAGAAUGAUGUAGGCCAACAGAUCAGCACAGUGAAUUCUUUUUUCUUUUUUUUUAUCCAUACCGUUUUCCUCAAAGAAAAAUGUUAUACCAUAACAAUAUAUAAUACUGGCAGAAGUCCAUUAAUGAUGAGCGGAGCAAAAGUUGGCGAGUGCAAGCUGUUGCUGUUCCUCCUGAUAGGUUUGAGAGCCGAAAGGCUCUCCCAGAAAAGUGGAGGGGCACGAGAGACGAGGAACUGUCGACAAAAACCGGCAUUCCCGGAUGUGU